UACAGAGGGGGCAAGCGUUAUUCGGAAUUAUUGGGCGUAAAGGGCGCGUAGGCGGCCUGACAAGUGGAAGGUGAAAUCCCUCGGCCCAACCGAGGAACAGCCGGGACAACGGCCGUGCUAGACGGCAUCAGGGGACAGUGGAACUUCCGGUGGAGCGGUGAAAUGCGUAGAUAUCGGAAGGAACGCCGGUGGCGAAAGCGACUGUCUGGGGUGCCUGUGACGCUGAGGCGCGAAAGCCAGGGGAUCAAACGGG
rnacentral:rRNA from 1 species